AGCUGUUGGGCAGCGUCUGCACCAUGCUGCCCCUUUGCCACGGACCUGCUAUGCACAGGUGGGGAGGUUUUGGCCAAAACCGACCCAGCUGGUGCCUCUUAUCCCGAAAGGCCAUCCAGCUCCCGGAGAGUGACAUCUGGACAGAGGGAUGGAGUUCCAGCGUCUGCAGGAGGACAGAAAGGAAGAGGGAUGUGAAGAGGGGAGGGACGACCUGCAGAAGGCUCGGGGGGCACAGCUGGGGGAG